AUUGCUACUAGGGGCAUUGUAGGAGUGCCUGCUAUGUCACAUGUGUAUCAGUAGGUAGCAAAGAGGGGAGAGGAUAUAUUAUGCUGAUCUUCUGACUUGUGAAAAUCUGAAAGUCAAAUAGCCUAAUAAU